rnacentral:rRNA from 1 species
UUGAAAACUUGCUCAAAGGUAAACGGGUGGGCCCUCGAAAUCCUUCGGCGGGGGAUUCAGUCGGGAAGUGCGGGCUCGUACGCCGGUCGUUUCAUUCGGACCCUCCCCGGGCCGGACCGGCGUCGAUGUCUCCGUGCGACCCGACGCACUUCCUCCCGCCCUCAGGACGCCGCAGCCGGUUGGGUAGCUGCGCGAGUCGGCCAUAAGGACGGACAACGGAAGGUGGCCAGUGGCGUACCCAGUGUUCGUCGCUGGUCGUUAUCCAGUUCGCCCGUGGCACGACACCCGACCGAGGUCGAUGGGUCCCGGUUAGGACCUUGCCGUCCCCUCCCCAGUGGUUGAGCGGACGUACCAGCAGGCGAUUCCCCUUGCGAUCGUUCCACUUUCCGAGUGUGCGGUCCUCGGGUGGCGCCGUUGGUGAGGAUGCGUUCCGCGACGGGGUCGUUCAGGCGGCUUGCGGCGAGUAGGUCGGUCACCCACCCGACCCGUCUUGAAACACGGACCAAGGAGUCUAACAUGUGCGCGAGUCACGGGGUCUUGUUCAGGCCCAGAGGCGCAAUGAAAGUGAAGGUCGUCCUCGGCCUAGUCGGGACUCUCCGCGUCGCAAUCGCGGGGAAGCACCGACGACCCGUCCUGUCCGAUUCAUUCGGUUGGGCGGAGUGUGAGCGUACACGUUGGGACCCGAAAGAUGGUGAACUAUGCCUGGGCAGGACGAAGCCAGAGGAAACUCUGGUGGAGGUCCGUAGCGGUUCUGACGUGCAAAUCGAUCGUCAGACCUUGGUAUAGGGGCGAA